CUUCUUCCACCUGCUGGGGGCAGAUGAAGUGGAUAUGCGCGUCGAUGCCGCCUGCAGUGAGAACUUUGCCUUCGCCCGCAAUCACUUCGGUGCCGGGGCCAAUGACGAUCUCGACAUCGGGCUGGGUGUCGGGGUUGCCAGCUUUGCCGAUGGCGGCGAUGCGGCCGUUUUGCAGCCCCACAUCGGCUUUGACGAUGCCCCACCAGUCCAGAAUCAGCGCGUUGGUGAUCACGGUGUCCAUCACCGAGGCAUCCUGGCGCUGGCUUUGGCCCAUGCCAUCGCGGAU
rfam:Halomonas sp. STBG004 Ion019_assembly_c13, whole genome shotgun sequence.